rnacentral:lncRNA from 1 species
GACAAGGUCAGCCAGCUGCAUAUAGAAGACAUGUAUAUUCCAGUUGCAAAAUAGUAGGAGUAUCACAACACUAAAGAUUCAAACUUAUUAUUUAAGUGACCAUGUUGUAACAGCAUGCUCUCCUCUACCCUGCUUCUCACCUUCAGUCUGGCCAUUGCCUUGCCCAAAUGCUGCCAGUUGCACCAAAGGCCUCGCUCAGGCAGAUUGUGGCCGAUGUGCUGGCUACACCCAAAGCACAGCAAGGAGGAGCCAGGCAGAACUUCAGGCAGGCCAGUAGGCCUCUGAGCUCUUACACACAGCAGCUGGCUGCAUGGCAGGAUCUCCCCUUGAGUUUGGAUUCUUGUCAAGGCCAAGCCUGCUGCAAAGAUCCCUUACUCCUCACAACUCCUUGAUGCAACAGAACGUUGCGCACAGAGAGAAGCGGAGAAUUCAAGAUGACAGACUGCAGCAAGCCCUCCUGGUGCUCAGCACCCAGGGAGAAGGAUCACUGUUAAUGAGCUGUGGGCAGAAGAUGGUUUGCCCAUUCCUGCCUUACAGAAAGUAAAAUGCGAUGCUUCAUUCCUUUUCCAUUAAGAACAGCUGCAUGGAUGAUUUAUUUUGAAAAGAUUCCUUAGAGAACAUUUUGUAAGACAACAAUUAUAAAUUAAGGCACAAUUAUAAUUUAUAUCAAGUUCUUCUGGUCUUUUAUGGCCUGACGCUUUAUUAGAGCUACUAUUAGCAACUCCCUGCAGAGCCUCUUUUUGUAAUCAAAAUGACAAUUCAUAUCAUCACUGGUAAACACUGUUUGAAAUGUAAUACAAUACUUCUUUGACAGAGGCAUUGUCAGUUUUAAAUUUACAGCUUGAACCAACACUAUAAAAAUCAAUGGAAAACCUCAGCAAAUUCAGAGUGCUUCUGAUCAGGACAAGAGUGAUGUAAAUGAGUAAUUAAAUGCUUCAAAUUACAUUUCUAUACUGAUAUGAAAAUCAAACCAAUCCUUUGUAGAUGUGCUGUUAUAGGGUGUGAUCCUGCUUUCUGGUGCUUUUUAGGCCUGAUGCACUCCUUCCAGUUAGUUCUUACCACAAAACCCAUAGGCAGCCUCAGGAGCAUUCCUUCUCCUGCAGUAACAUCCACAGGAGUGUCCAUACCCAGUUUUUUUCUUGUUCUUUGUUGAUGUCCCCAUCCCAUGAUUCCAGUGUUCCUUUCCACACUGAGAAGCUAACACUGUCACUGAUUAAAUUAUCCGCCCUAGCAGCUUAGACAUGCUUGUACCCAAUGGUCAUAGCAUUCUUUUGUGAGUAGGAGUUCAGGAUUCAAGUACCUUCAGUAAAAACUAUGAAUUCCACUUCCUUAGUGCCCUGAUCACUAUGUCACUUAUAAGAGAUGGUCAGCAUUUCUUUACUUUGAACUAAAUUCAUCAUUCUUGGCGUGUAAUUCAGAUGCUUAAUCAAUCAACCCCUUCCAAGGAUCUAUGCAUAGUUUACACACUUCUCUUCCUGCCUCUAAGAUCCAACAAAGCUCAGAUGGAGACUUUAUAUUUCUGAAUAGUGACAUGACAGCAAGUG